rnacentral:rRNA from 1 species
AGCGAACGCUGGCGGCAGGCCUAACACAUGCAAGUCGAACGAACCUUUCGGGGUUAGUGGCGGACGGGUGAGUAACACGUGGGAACGUGCCUUUAGGUUCGGAAUAACUCAGGGAAACUUGUGCUAAUACCGAAUGUGCCCUUCGGGGGAAAGAUUUAUCGCCUUUAGAGCGGCCCGCGUCUGAUUAGCUAGUUGGUUGAGGUAAUGGCUCACCAAGGCGACGAUAAGUAGCUGGUCUGAGAGGAUGAUCAGCCACAUUGGGACUGAGACACGGCCCAAACUCCUACGGGAGGCAGCAGUGGGGAAUCUUGCGCAAUGGGGGAAAGCCUGACGCAGCCAUGCCGGGUGAAUGAUGAAGGUCUUAGGAUUGUAAAAUUCUUUAACCGGGGACGAUAAUGACGGUACCCGGAGAAGAAGCCCCGGCUAACUUCGUG